AUGAACGCUGGCGGCGUGCCUAAUACAUGCAAGUCGAGCGAACAGAUGAGGAGCUUGCUCCUCUGACGUUAGCGGCGGACGGGUGAGUAACACGUGGAUAACCUACCUAUAAGACUGGGAUAACUUCGGGAAACCGGAGCUAAUACCGGAUAAUAUAUUGAACCGCAUGGUUCAAUAGUGAAAGACGGUUUUGCUGUCACUUAUAGAUGGAUCCGCGCCGCAUUAGCUAGUUGGUAAGGUAACGGCUUACCAAGGCAACGAUGCGUAGCCGACCUGAGAGGGUGAUCGGCCACACUGGAACUGAGACACGGUCCAGACUCCUACGGGAGGCAGCAGUAGGGAAUCUUCCGCAGUGGGCGAAAGCCUGACGGAGCAACGCCGCGUGAGUGAUGAAGGUCUUCGGAUCGUAAAACUCUGUUAUUAGGGAAGAACAAAUGUGUAAGUAACUAUGCACGUCUUGACGGUACCUAAUCAGAAAGCCACGGCUAACUACGUG
rnacentral:rRNA from 1 species